GACGAACCGUGCAAACGUUGUUCGGAUUCACUGGGCUUAAAGGGCGCGUAGGCGGGCCAUCAAGUCAGGGGUGAAAUCUCUCGGCUCAACCGGAAAAGUGCCUUUGAUACUGGCGGUCUCGAGGGAGGUAGGGGCAUGCGGAACUUCCGGUGGAGCGGUGAAAUGCGUAGAUAUCGGAAGGAACGCCGGUGGCGAAAGCGGCGUGCUGGGCCUCUUCUGACGCUGAGGCGCGAAAGCUAGGGGAGCAAACGGG
rnacentral:rRNA from 1 species